CAGCCGCCGCGGUAAUACAGAGGAUGCAAGCGUUACCCGGAUUUACUGGGCGUAAAGGGCGUGUAGGCGGCCUGGGGCGUCCCAUGUGAAAGGCCACGGCUCAACCGUGGAGGAGCGUGGGAUGCGCUCAGGCUAGAGGGUGGGAGAGGGUGGUGGAAUUCCCGGAGUAGCGGUGAAAUGCGCAGAUACCGGGAGGAACGCCGAUGGCGAAGGCAGCCACCUGGUCCACUUCUGACGCUGAGGCGCGAAAGCGUGGGGAGCAAACCGGAUUAGAUACCCCUGUAGUCCCUGUCUCUUAUAC
rnacentral:rRNA from 1 species